rnacentral:ncRNA from 1 species
CAUUAUUAUAAAGCGCCAGGACUGUGUAGGCGGACGCAAGCUGCACAGUUGACGAGGUGGAGGUUCAUCGAGUUUUCGGCGGAUGCCUCCCGGUUGCUGCACUUCAACCGAAUGUCCCAAUGUAAAACAGAAAGGCGACUUUCUGAACAAAACAUUAAGGACGAAGUGAC